UGAACGCUGGCGGCAGGCUUAACACAUGCAAGUCGAGGGGCAGCAUAAUGGAUAGCAAUAUCUAUGGUGGCGACCGGCGCACGGGUGCGUAACGCGUAUGCAACCUACCUUUAACAGGGGGAUAACACUGAGAAAUUGGUACUAAUACCCCAUAAUAUCAUAGAAGGCAUCUUUUAUGGUUGAAAAUUCCGAUGGUUAGAGAUGGGCAUGCGUUGUAUUAGCUAGUUGGUGGGGUAACGGCUCACCAAGGCGACGAUACAUAGGGGGACUGAGAGGUUAACCCCCCACACUGGUACUGAGACACGGACCAGACUCCUACGGGAGGCAGCAGUGAGGAAUAUUGGUCAAUGGACGCAAGUCUGAACCAGCCAUGCCGCGUGCAGGAUGACGGCUCUAUGAGUUGUAAACUGCUUUUGUACGAGGGUAAACGCAGAUACGUGUAUCUGUCUGAAAGUAUCGUACGAAUAAGGAUCGGCUAACUCCGUGCCAGCAGCCGCGGUAAUACGGAGGAUUCAAGCGUUAUCCGGAUUUAUUGGGUUUAAAGGGUGCGUAGGCGGUUUGAUAAGUUAGAGGUGAAAUUUCGGGGCUCAACCCUGAACGUGCCUCUAAUACUGUUGAGCUAGAGAGUAGUUGCGGUAGGCGGAAUGUAUGGUGUAGCGGUGAAAUGCUUAGAGAUCAUACAGAACACCGAUUGCGAAGGCAGCUUACCAAACUAUAUCUGACGUUGAGGCACGAAAGCGUGGGGAGCAAACAGGAUUAGAUACCCUGGUAGUCCACGCAGUAAACGAUGAUAACUCGUUGUCGGCGAUACACAGUCGGUGACUAAGCGAAAGCGAUAAGUUAUCCACCUGGGGAGUACGUUCGCAAGAAUGAAACUCAAAGGAAUUGACGGGGGCCCGCACAAGCGGAGGAACAUGUG
rnacentral:rRNA from 1 species